rnacentral:rRNA from 1 species
UACGGGAGGCAGCAGUGGGGAAUAUUGCGCAAUGGGGGAAACCCUGACGCAGCGACGCCGCGUGCGGGAUGAAGGCCUUCGGGUUGUAAACCGCUUUCACCAGGGACGAAGCGAGAGUGACGGUACCUGGGGAAGAAGCGCCGGCUAACUACGUGCCAGCAGCCGCGGUAAUACGUAGGGCGCAAGCGUUGUCCGGAAUUAUUGGGCGUAAAGAGCUCGUAGGCGGCUUGUCACGUCUGCUGUGAAAUCCCGGGGCUCAACCCCGGGCGUGCAGUGGAUACGGGCUGGCUAGAGGCAGGCAGGGGAGAACGGAAUUCCCGGUGUAGCGGUGAAAUGCGCAGAUAUCGGGAGGAACACCGGUGGCGAAGGCGGUUCUCUGGGCCUGUACUGACGCUGAGGAGCGAAAGCGUGGGGAGCGAACAGGAUUAGAUACCCUGGUAG